rnacentral:rRNA from 1 species
ACAAUGAAGAGUUUGAUCCUGGCUCAGGAUGAACGCUAGCUACAGGCUUAACACAUGCAAGUCGAGGGGCAGCGGGAAGUCAGCUUGCUGACUUUGCCGGCGACCGGC